rnacentral:rRNA from 1 species
AGAGUUUGAUCAUGGCUCAGAUUGAACGCUGGCGGAAUGCUUUACACAUGCAAGUCGAACGGUAGAGGGGGCAACCCCUUGAGAGUGGCGAACGGGUGAGUAAUAUAUCGGAACGUGCCCAGUCGUGGGGGAUAACGUAGCGAAAGUUACGCUAAUACCGCAUACGAUCUAAGGAUGAAAGCGGGGGAUCGCAAGACCUCGCGCGACUGGAGCGGCCGAUAUCAGAUUAGGUAGUUGGUGAGGUAAAGGCUCACCAAGCCAACGAUCUGUAGCUGGUCUGAGAGGACGACCAGCCACACUGGAACUGAGACACGGUCCAGACUCCUACGGGAGGCAGCAGUGGGGAAUUUUGGACAAUGGACGCAAGUCUGAUCCAGCCAUUCCGCGUGCAGGAUGAAGGCCCUCGGGUUGUAAACUGCUUUUGUACAGAACGAAAAGGUCUCUCCUAAUACGAGAGGCUCAUGACGGUACUGUAAGAAUAAGCACCGGCUAACUACGUGCCAGCAGCCGCGGUAAUACGUAGGGUGCAAGCGUUAAUCGGAAUUACUGGGCGUAAAGCGUGCGCAGGCGGUUAUAUAAGACAGAUGUGAAAUCCCCGGGCUCAACCUGGGAACUGCAUUUGUGAUUGUAUAGCUAGAGUACGGUAGAGGGGGAUGGAAUUCCGCGUGUAGCAGUGAAAUGCGUAGAUAUGCGGAGGAACACCGAUGGCGAAGGCAAUCCCCUGGACCUGUACUGACGCUCAUGCACGAAAGCGUGGGGAGCAAACAGGAUUAGAUACCCUGGUAGUCCACGCCCUAAACGAUGUCAACUGGUUGUUGGGUCUUAACUGACUCAGUAACGAAGCUA